rnacentral:lncRNA from 10 species
AUCUCAAGUAUUUUAACCAUCUCUUGAAAUGUUCUUGGGCCUCAGCCUAGGCACUAUGCCUAUAGAAACUAAUGGAUAAAGCAACCCUGCUUCUUUAAAGGCCUGGAGGCAAGUGCAAUCACGUUUAAUGCUGAAUAUGGCAAACUUAUUUUCCCUGUUGAAGCCAAGUAUCUGUGUGGAGGAUUAGUUGGAUGCAUGCUUCCAAAAGAAACCAGCUGUUCUUGUAAGUAAAGGCCUGCUGAAAGAAGAAACCAACCUAUUUAGCUUGGAGAAUAUGGGGGCACAGAUUGCCUUUUCCCAUCACCUGCCAGGAACACCAUGCACUUAUUUCAUCUCAAUGCAAGAUACAAGAUCAAUGAAGACUUCUUAACUGCACCUGAAGAGUGACUCGCCAAAAACAAUGAAAGGUGUUUCACAAUCUGAGUGGGUGAACUUCAUCUAACUGAUAUGUAAAUAAAGGAGUGGCGGGUUAACAGCUCAAUACGCAGAAGCGGCCUCUCAAGAAAGCUUGGCUACUAGAAAUGAAGGGCAACUUCACUCAAAUCCUGUGACACUGUGGAAUUUAGGCACAGCAAGAUGCUUGGGCCUGGACCAAUGGAAGGACAAAAGGUUCCUUUCUCUCUCUGCAGUUCAUCCAUGUCCAAAGAGAGAGAACACCAGGAGGUGGGACUUCUGAGUUGAUUCUAAAUCUUCCUGUGUAAUUCAAGGCGUGUGUGUGUAUCUGUAGAGCUUCCUGGGAACCUCUCAGCACCUACUGGAUCAGAACAUCCAGGGCUGGGUCAUGAAGUUGCUGCCUAUCGACAGAGAGUGGGCCAGUUUGGAAAGUCACUAAGUGAUAGGAUCUGACGCCAAGUACAUGUUUUUGAAUCUGUAUCUGCACUUCUGGGAAAUAAUCAAACUCCUUUUCUUUAUUUUGUGAGGUAUUUGAGGGAGGAUGUUCUUGUGAUAUGGCUUAAUUUUUCUACCUUUAUCAAGAAUUUUCACGCUUAAUCUUUAGAGCCAAGACCUCAAAUGCAAAUGCUAAAGAGACUAAAACACAACAUAAAUGAAUGAAAUUAGCUGGGUGGAAACUGUGGAAAAUGGAGAUCACAGAGUUUGUCUAGAAAAAGACAUCACUACACGGCUCCUGUGAAAUGUUGCCAUGUUGGAAUGUGGCCAAGGCUUAACGAUUUUUGAAGAGAAGCUGGAAAUUAGAUUUUUAAAAUGUGAUGUUAAAUGUCUCUAUUUUUAAGAAUUGGUGACUAGUUUAAAUUUUAAAAAUAUACUGAAGGCAAAAAUAAAUAUCUACAGACUGGAUAGAGUGGGCAGGCUAUCAGUUUCCUUUGGAGAAUCACUUCAUAGAGGGUUUAGUUAGUCCUUUGGUGCUAUUGUAAGGUAGAAUGGCAUUUUAACCUAGAUAGAAAAUUCUGAUGCAGUUCCACAACAACAAACAACAACAAAACCGGUGUAAAAGGAGACAGAAUCUGUACUUAUUACCUGCCUUGGAUGGCU